GGACUAAAACCCCGAAAAGCGUCUUCUAACGUGCAUCAGGAAAGAACGUCUAUGAGACCACGGAUCCAAAAUGAGUAACGAGUGAGAUCCUCAAAGGAAGUGGUGAGGGGCAAUAGGAAAAGUACUGCUGGAUCUGAUGGUCCGUGAAGCACAGAGGAAAUCAGGGAACACGGAAGAUGAUAGGAGAGCCUAUAUUUAAAACUGGCUCAAGGCAUAAGGAGUAUUGUCAGCUAUGACUCAAUACCCAUCAUCUGAAUAAAGAAGUUGAAGCUUGCCCUGCCCCGCGGAGCUGCUCUGUAGGUCUCACCAGUGCAUCCUUCCACCAUCCUGACCAGACUCCAGUUUCACUUCUGCCGUCUCAACAACUGUGUGGCUCCAGGAUUUGAACUCAAGUCAUCAGGCUCGGACAAGAAACACUUCAAUCAUGUACCAUCUCGCUGGCCCCACGUGCUCAGAAUCUUGAGAAUCAUAUGAAACACU
rnacentral:lncRNA from 1 species